rnacentral:tRNA from 1 species
AUGUUGAAAGUAUAUUAAGUACAACUGCCUUCCAAGCAGAAGGUCCUAAAUCAGGCCAGCAUA